rnacentral:rRNA from 1 species
GAUGAACGCUGGCGGCGUGCCUAAUACAUGCAAGUCGAGCGAACGGACGAGAAGCUUGCUUCUCUGAUGUUAGCGGCGGACGUGUGAGUAACACGUGUAUCCCCUACCUAUAAUACUGGUAUAACUUCGGAAAACCGUAUCUAAUACCGUAUGAUAUUUUGAACCGCAGUGUUCAAAAGUGAAAUACGGUGUUGCUGUCACGUAUAGAUGGAUCCGCGCUUCAUUAGCUGGUUGGUGAGGUAACGGCUUACCAAGGCAACGAUGCAUAGCCGACCUGAGAGGGUGGUCGCCCACACUGGAAGUGAGACACGGUCAAGACGCCUACGAGAGGCAGCAGUAGGGAAUGUGAGGCAGUGGGCGAGAGCAUGACGGAGCAACGCCGCGUCAGUGACAACGGUCUUGGGAUCGGGAAAACCUGUUACUAGGGGAGAACAUAUGUGGAAGUAAACGUGGCGAUCGUGACGGUACCUGAUAAGAAAGCACCGGCUAACUACGUG